rnacentral:rRNA from 1 species
UACGUAGGCAGCAAGCGUUGUUCGGAAUUACUGGGCGUAAAGAGUGUGUAGGCGGUGCUCCAAGUCUGGUGUGAAAUCUCCCGGCUUAACUGGGAGGGUGCAUUAGAAACUGGAAUGCUAGAGGAUGGGAGAGGUAAGCGGAAUUCCUGGUGUAGCGGUGAAAUGCGUAGAUAUCAGGAGGAACACCUGUGGUGUAGACAGCUUCUGGACCAUUUCUGACGCUGAGACACGAAAGCGUGGGUAGCAAACAGG